GACGAACGCUGGCGGCGUGCCUAAUACAUGCAAGUUGAGCGAUGAAGAUUGGUGCUUGCACCAAUUUGAAGAGCAGCGAACGGGUGAGUAACGCGUGGGGAAUCUGCCUUUGAGCGGGGGACAACAUUGGGAAAGAAAGGCUAAUACGGCAUACAAUCUUUAACCAUAGGUUUUAGGUUGAAAGGAUGCAAUGGCACAACUCAAAAGUGAUCCGCGGUUUUAUUGGCUAGUGGGUGAGUAAAGGGUUCACCAAGCGGAGGAUACAUAGCCGACCUGAGAGGGUGAUCGGCCACAUUGGGACUGAGACACGGCCCAAACUCCUACGGGAGGCAGCAGUAGGGAAUCUUCGGCAAUAGACGAAAGUCUGACCGAGCAACGCCGCGUGAGUGAAGAAGGUUUUCGGAUCGUAAAACUCUGUUGGUAGAGAAGAACGUUGGUGAGAGUGGAAAGCUCAUCAAGUGACGGUAACUACCCAGAAAGGGACGGCUAACUACGUG
rnacentral:rRNA from 1 species